UACGUAGGUGGCAAGCGUUAUCCGGAUUUACUGGGCGUAAAGGGCGCGUAGGCGGCCACCGCAAGUCGGUUGUGAAAUCUCUGGGCUUAACCCAGAAAGGUCAACCGAUACUGCGGGGCUAGAGUGCAGAAGGGGCAACUGGAAUUCUCGGUGUAGCGGUGAAAUGCGUAGAUAUCGAGAGGAACACCUGCGGCGAAGGCGGGUUGCUGGGCUGACACUGACGCUGAAGCGCGAAAGCUAGGGGAGCGAACGGG
rnacentral:rRNA from 1 species